UAGCGGCGGACGGGUGAGUAACACGUGGGCAACCUGCCCUGCAGAUCGGGAUAACUCCGGGAAACCGGUGCUAAUACCGAAUAGUUUUUUGCCCCUCCUGGGGCGAAACGGAAAGACGGUUUCGGCUGUCACUGCAGGAUGGGCCCGCGGCGCAUUAGCUAGUUGGUGGGGUAAUGGCCCACCAAGGCGACGAUGCGUAGCCGACCUGAGAGGGUGAUCGGCCACACUGGGACUGAGACACGGCCCAGACUCCUACGGGAGGCAGCAGUAGGGAAUCUUCCGCAAUGGACGCAAGUCUGACGGAGCAACGCCGCGUGAGUGACGAAGGUUUUCGGAUCGUAAAACUCUGUUGUGAGGGAAGAACAAGUACCAAGUAACUACUGGUACCUUGACGGUACCUCACCAGAAAGCCACGGCUAACUACGUGCCAGCAGCCGCGGUAAUACGUAGGUGGCAAGCGUUGUCCGGAAUUAUUGGGCGUAAAGCGCGCGCAGGCGGUCCCUUAAGUCUGAUGUGAAAGCCCACGGCUCAACCGUGGAGGGUCAUUGGAAACUGGGGGACUUGAGUGCAGAAGAGGAAAGUGGAAUUCCACGUGUAGCGGUGAAAUGCGUAGAGAUGUGGAGGAACACCAGUGGCGANNNCGACUUUCUNNNCUGUAACUGACGCUGAGGCGCGAAAGCGUNG
rnacentral:rRNA from 1 species